rnacentral:rRNA from 1 species
AACGAACGCUGGCGGCAGGCUUAACACAUGCAAGUCGAACGCAUCGCAAGAUGAGUGGCAGACGGGUGAGUAACGCGUGGGAAUCUACCCAUCUCUGCGGAAUAGCUCUGGGAAACUGGAAUUAAUACCGCAUACGCCCUACGGGGGAAAGAUUUAUCGGGGAUGGAUGAGCCCGCGUUGGAUUAGCUAGUUGGUGGGGUAAAGGCCUACCAAGGCGACGAUCCAUAGCUGGUCUGAGAGGAUGAUCAGCCACAUUGGGACCGAGACACGGCCCAAACUCCUACGGGAGGCAGCAGUGGGGAAUAUUGGACAAUGGGCGCAAGCCUGAUCCAGCCAUGCCGCGUGAGUGAUGAAGGCCUUAGGGUUGUAAAGCUCUUUCACCGAUGAAGAUAAUGACGGUAGUCGGAGAAGAAGCCCCGGCUAACUUCGUGCCAGCCGCCGCCGUAACAC